UACGUAGGGAGCAAGCGUUGUCCGGAAUCACUGGGCGUAAAGGGCGCGUAGGUGGUUUGAUAAGGGUGUGGUGAAAGUCCGGAGCUCAACUCCGGAUCGGCCGUGCGGACUGGGGAGCUCGAGUUCUGUAGAGGCGGGUGGAAUUCCGGGUGUAGCGGUGGAAUGCGUAGAGAUCCGGAAGAACACCGGUGGCGAAGGCGGCCCGCUGGGCAGAGACUGACGCUGAGGCGCGACAGCGUGGGGAGCAAACAGG
rnacentral:rRNA from 1 species